GCUGUGAUGGCUCAGUGGAUUGAGUGUCGUCCCAUUGACCAAGAGGUCCUGGGUUCGAUUCCCAGUCAGGGCA
rnacentral:tRNA from 1 species